rnacentral:rRNA from 1 species
UACGUAGGGUGCGAGCGUUGAUCGGAAUUACUGGGCGUAAAGCGUGCGCAGGCGGUCUGUUAAGACCGAUGUGAAAUCCCCGGGCUUAACCUGGGAACUGCAUUGGUGACUGGCAGGCUUUGAGUGUGGCAGAGGGAGGUAGAAUUCCACGUGUAGCAGUGAAAUGCGUAGAGAUGUGGAGGAACACCGAUGGCGAAGGCAGCCUCCUGGGCCAACACUGACGCUCAUGCACGAAAGCGUGGGGAGCAAACAGG